GGCCCGAUAGCUUAAUGGGAAAGCGGAGGACUGAAGAUCCUUUGACGAGGGUUCGAUUCCCUCUCGGGCCAC
rnacentral:tRNA from 1 species